rnacentral:rRNA from 1 species
UACGGAGGAUGCGAGCGUUAUCCGGAUUUAUUGGGUUUAAAGGGUGCGUAGGCGGGAUGCCAAGCCAGCGGUAAAAAUGCGGUGCUCAACGCCGUCGAGCCGUUGAAACUGGCGUUCUUGAGUGGGCGAGAAGUAUGCGGAAUGCGUGGUGUAGCGGUGAAAUGCAUAGAUAUCACGCAGAACUCCGAUUGCGAAGGCAGCAUACCGGCGCCCUACUGACGCUGAGGCACGAAAGCGUGGGUAUCGAACAGG